rnacentral:rRNA from 1 species
AGCCUUUGCACCCCGCGAGGGGAAAGUGCCGCGACUAUAAAGAAAGCAUUUGAAGCAGGUAGCCUUCGAGGCUGCAACACGAUCGAAUUGCGGGGACGUCCUAAAGCUUUACAGUACCAACUCGGUGUAGGGAAACCUGCCGAGGGCCCUCAGGGGAUACGGUCACAACCUGUAAAGAUGCACCAAUGGACCAUCCGCAGCGAAGCUCCUUCAGGCGAAAGCUUAUGGAGAUCGUUCACAGACUAAGUGGUCGUGGGUUACGGGCUUGUGAUGCCUGUGCCUAAGAUAUAGUCGGGCCUUCGAGGAAAUCUCGAUGGGGUGUUUCGCACCAAACCGUUCCGUAGGUGAACCUGCGGAAGGAUCAUUACAGAGUUUUUGCUCGAAAGAGUAACACUCCCACCCUUGUGUAUUUAUACUUUGUUGCUUUGGCGGGUAUGGCUUCGUGCCUGAAAGCUUCACAGCGCCCGCCGAAGGUUACCAAACUCUGAAUUUUUGUCGUCUGAGUACUAUAUAAUAGUUAAAACUUUCAACAACGGAUCUCUUGGUUCUGGCAUCGAUGAAGAACGCAGCGAAAUGCGAUAAGUAAUGUGAAUUGCAGAAUUCAGUGAAUCAUCGAAUCUUUGAACGCACAUUGCGCCCCUUGGUAUUCCAGGGGGCAUGCCUGUUCGAGCGUCAUUUCAACCCUCAAGCCUAGCUUGGUAUUGGAUCUCGUCGGUCACACGACGGGUCUUAAAGUCAUUGGCGGCGCCGUUAGGUCCUGAACGUAGUAAUAUAUUUCGUUACAGGUACCUCGCGUGCUUUUGCCAUUAAACCCCCAAUUUUCAAUGGUUGACCUCGGAUCAGGUAGGGAUACCCGCUGAACUUAAGCAUAUCAAUAAGCGGAGGAAAAGAAACCAACAGGGAUUGCCUCAGUAACGGCGAGUGAAGCGGCAUAAGCUCAAAUUUGAAAUCUGGCUCUUUCAGGGUCCGAGUUGUAAUUUGUAGAAGAUGUUUCGGGUGUGGCUCCGGUCUAAGUUCCUUGGAACAGGACGUCAUAGAGGGUGAGAAUCCCGUAUGUGACUGGAUGCUUUCGCCCAUGUGAAACUCUUUCGACGAGUCGAGUUGUUUGGGAAUGCAGCUCAAAAUGGGUGGUAUAUUUCAUCUAAAGCUAAAUAUUGGCCAGAGACCGAUAGCGCACAAGUAGAGUGAUCGAAAGAUGAAAAGCACUUUGGAAAGAGAGUUAAACAGUACGUGAAAUUGUUGAAAGGGAAGCGCUUGCAAUCAGACUUGCGCCUAGUUGAUCAUCCGGACUUCUGUCCGGUGCACUCGAUUAGGCUCAGGCCAGCAUCGGUUUGGGUGGUUGGAUAAAGGCCUAGGGAAUGUAGCCUCCUUCGGGUGGUGUUAUAGCUCUAGGUGCAAUGCAGCCUACCUGGACCGAGGACCGCGCU